rnacentral:rRNA from 1 species
CCUACGGGAGGCUGCAGUGGGGAAUCUUGGACAAUGGGCGAAAGCCUGAUCCAGCCAUGCCGCGUGAGUGAUGAAGGCCCUAGGGUUGUAAAACUCUUUCGCCAGGGAAGAUAAUGACGGUACCUGGUAAAGAAACCCCGGCUAACUCCGUGCCAGCAGCCGCGGUAAUACGGAGGGGGUUAGCGUUGUUCGGAAUUACUGGGCGUAAAGCGUACGUAGGCGGAUCAGAAAGUAGGGGGUGAAAUCCCGAGGCUCAACCUCGGAACUGCCUCCUAAACUCCUGGUCUUGAGUUCGAGAGAGGUGAGUGGAAUUCCAAGUGUAGAGGUGAAAUUCGUAGAUAUUUGGAGGAACACCAGUGGCGAAGGCGGCUCACUGGCUCGAUACUGACGCUGAGGUACGAAAGUGUGGGGAGCAAACAGGAUUAGAUACCCUUGUAGUC